GUGGCUAUAGCUCAGCUGGUUAGAGCAUCGGUUUGUGGUGCCGAGGGUCGUGGGUUCAAAUCCCAUUAGCCACCC
rnacentral:tRNA from 1 species